rnacentral:lncRNA from 1 species
GGUAGCCCCAGAGGGGAGCUCCGAGGGCAGGUGCACAUAGCCAACCAAUGUGAGGUUGGCGGACUGCGCCUGGAGGCGGCCGGGGCCGAGGGGGUGCGGGCGCUGGGGGCUCCGGAUACAGCCUCUGCUGCGCCGCCUGUGGUGCCUGGUCUCCCGGCCCUAGCGCCCGCCAAACCUGGUGGUCCUGGGCGGCCCCGAGACCCCAACACAUGCUUCUUCGAGGGGCAGCAGCGCCCCCACGGGGCUCGCUGGGCGCCCAACUACGACCCGCUCUGCUCACUCUGCACCUGCCAGAGACGAACGGUGAUCUGUGACCCGGUGGUGUGCCCACCGCCCAGCUGCCCACACCCGGUGCAGGCUCCCGACCAGUGCUGCCCUGUUUGCCCUGAAACAAGAUGUCAGAGACUUGCCAGGGCUGCCAAGGAGCCGGGACCCAGGAGAGGGGGGGCACUGGAGAGGUGCACUGUGAGAAGGUGCAGUGUCCCCGGCUGGCCUGUGCCCAGCCUGUGCGUGUCAACCCCACCGACUGCUGCAAACAGUGUCCAGUGGGGUCGGGGGCCCACCCCCAGCUGGGGGACCCCAUGCAGGCUGAUGGGCCCCGGGGCUGCCGUUUUGCUGGGCAGUGGUUCCCAGAGAGUCAGAGCUGGCACCCCUCAGUGCCCCCUUUUGGAGAGAUGAGCUGUAUCACCUGCAGAUGUGGGGCAGGGGUGCCUCACUGUGAGCGGGAUGACUGUUCACUGCCACUGUCCUGUGGCUCGGGGAAGGAGAGUCGAUGCUGUUCCCGCUGCACGGCCCACCGGCGGCCAGCCCCAGAGACCAGAACUGAUCCAGAGCUGGAGAAAGAAGCCGAAGGCUCUUAGGGAGCAGCCAGAGGGCCAAGUGACCAAGAGGAUGGGGCCUGAGCUGGGGAAGGGGUGGCAUCGAGGACCUUCUUGCAUUCUCCUGUGGGAAGCCCAGUGCCUUUGCUCCUCUGUCCUGCCUCUACUCCCACCCCCACUACCUCUGGGAACCACAGCUCCACAAGGGGGAGAGGCAGCUGGGCCAGACCGAGGUCACAGCCACUCCAAGUCCUGCCCUGCCACCCUCGGCCUCUGUCCUGGAAGCCCCACCCCUUUCCUCCUGUACAUAAUGUCACUGGCUUGUUGGGAUUUUUAAUUUAUCUUCACUCAGCACCAAGGGCCCCCGACACUCCACUCCUGCUGCCCCUGAGCUGAGCAGAGUCAUUAUUGGAGAGUUUUGUAUUUAUUAAAACAUUUCUUUU